ensembl:piRNA 21ur-2324 ncRNA
UGAAUAGGCUGGCUUGAUGGA